rnacentral:rRNA from 1 species
GACGAACCGUACGAACGUUAUUCGGAAUCACUGGGCUUAAAGGGUGCGUAGGCGGCGCUGAAAGUUGGGUGUGAAAUCCCUCGGCUCAACCGAGGAACUGACAUUCAAAACUACAGUGCUUGAGGGAGACAGAGGUGAGCGGAACUUAGGGUGGAGCGGUGAAAUGCGUUGAUAUCCUAAGGAACACCCGUGGCGAAAGCGGCUCACUGGGUCUCUUCUGACGCUGAGGCACGAAAGCUAGGGGAGCGAACGGG